UAUAGUUAAGGCCCAAACACCAGGAACCACAGGAGGAUGCGUUUACAACUCCCCUGCCGCAAACACGAGUCUGACGGCUGAGGCCGCUGCCGGCUUCCGGAAACGGCCGGUUCCGCUUCAGGAAUCUUCGCGAAUUUUCCGGUCGCGCAAGCGCAGAGCUGAGGAAGGGGACGAAGGAAGCGGCGGGAGGCCAGGACCGGGGCAGAGUCCGAGGCCCAACCCGGAGCAUCGCAGAGGCGUCAGUUCUUGGUGGCAGCACAGUCAGCGAUGCAUCCUGGGUUUUUCGUAGAAGAGAAAAUGAGUUAGAAAAUGAAGGUUAUCUGUGUUUCUUUGGAACAUUGAGGAUGGUUGUUACCUUGAAGUCACCUUGAAGUCACCUUGAUCUUCAGUUUUCACUGUGUUGGUGACAUUUGAGGAGUGGUCAGUCAUUUGCUCUGAUGAUCUUCUGUCUUUGCAGGUCUUGGAAGAAGCCUUGAAGAGUGCUGGAGGAAUUGAUGGUAUCUAUUUCUCUGAAUAAACUCUGCUAGGAUCUAGGUGGAAGCUCUCUUUAAAUGCUCACAGACAUAUCUGGAUGCAAUUUGAAAACAUCAGGAAAAGUCACAGUCACAAACUAUUGAAUAUAUAUUGAACUGAAUAUUUGCAAGAACAAUUUUUCUUCCCAUGAUUUUUUUUUCAUUUCCCCCUCAAAUUUUCAGAUUUGAUAAAUUGAGGAAGGUACUAUUUUAUGAAAUAUUUAGGAUUUUAGAAUCAUCUAUCCAUGCUUUAUCUGUUCACACUUGGAGAAGACUCACCUAUGGGUCAAAACCCAAACCAUUCUUUAUCAGUUUCUUGAUGUAAUUGAUUACUCUUUUCAACAGUUGUUCUCAAUGCUUCUAUCCUUAGAGACUUAUGAUUAUGAGAUGGUAAAAGAAGAAUGAACUAGUAUUUAUUAAAAUGGAUGGGAGAAUUGUAGUUCACCUCUUUUUUCUCAUAAACAUAUCUUGGCCAACAGAGUAUAUGUACAUCUAUGGAAAAAGAGAUUGCAUACAUAUAUAGUUUAUGCUAAAACAAUUUUUGUUAAUACGUAUUUUUGCAGUAUGCAGUAUGAAAAUAACUUUCCUAUUCCAUCAAAAAGAAUCUGCUUCUAAGGAGACUCAACUAAGAAUGUUCCUUUCAUAUUUUUAAAAUAAAAUUCAGCUCUUCCAUUUAAAGUCAAAUCCUUUACUUUGAAAAAUAAAAUAACUUAUUAAAAGUUCAUUUUCUUAAACCUGAUUGAAGAGUCAUUCCAAAACCAUUUUAAAAGACUAGUAAUUUAUUUUUAAGUCUAAUGUUAAAACCACUGCAAACUGUAGUUUUUUUAAUUAUCUAUUUAUUUUAUGCAGCUGCCUUUCAGUUUCAUAAAAUAGUCAAGCAAUUGUUAAUUGGUGAGUUUAAUUUCCUAAGACUGCCUUCCUUACUUAAGUGAUCUAUUUCCGUUGAGCUGCCAGUUAAAAGAUGACCUCAUGCUUGCUGACACAUUAUUAGUGAUUGAUUGUUAAAGGAAUGUUGAUAUUCUCCUAUGCUAUUUGUUUUACUUCUUUAUAUAUCAAAUUGGCUUCUUUUGUUUGUCCUAUGAACACUUUCUGUUUUUGUUAAGGGGGAUAUAAAAUAAAUGUUCAUAAAACCAAUUAUUAAUUACAUCAUGGGGAAAAAGUUCAAAUGUGAAGUAGCUAUUUCAUAGACUUUCUAAAAAUAUAAAAAUAAAAAAUAAAAAGCCCCUUGUUUGGAUCAAAGUUUCCUCUUAUUCGUGGUUGCUAUUUAUCUUUGAGUUAUCAUUAUUGUAUACUUAACAGAAAAUC